UACGAAGGGGGCUAGCGUUGCUCGGAAUCACUGGGCGUAAAGCGCACGUAGGCGGAUUGCUAAGUCAGGGGUGAAAGCCCAGAGCUCAACUCUGGAAUUGCCUUUGAGACUGAGUGGCUUGAGUACGAGAGAGGUGAGUGGAAUUCCCAGUGUAGAGGUGAAAUUCGUAGAUAUUGGGAAGAACACCGGUGGCGAAGGCGGCUCACUGGCUCGUAACUGACGCUCAUGCACGACAGCGUGGGGAGUCAAACAGGA
rnacentral:rRNA from 1 species